GAAAAUGGACUACCUUUCCCAUACUACAACUGGUCAUGAUCAGGAACUUCCGCGAAAUUCAAACCCCCACUGUGUACUGGACGGAGGACGCGCGAUCUUUUGUCUUGUGGAGUUUUAUAUAACACAGUAAGAAGUCAUGUACCACACUUUGUCAACAAUAAAUGUUGUUUCUGCAAUCUGGAUAAAGAAUAAUAUAUUACUGCCUCUUGGAGAACAGCCGACCGUACUCCAGACAGACGUGAGGACAUCCAUUGCUUUUAAGUCAUGUACCACACUUUGUCAACAAUGCAUGUUGUUCCUGCAAUCUGGAUGAAGAAUAAUAUAUUACUGCCUCUUGGGAAAACAGCAGACUGUACUCCAGACAGAGACAAAGACAUGAGGACAUCCAUUGCUUUUAAGUCCUAUACUAGACUAUGUUGUUCCAGCUGUCUGGGUAAAGACUGAUACAUUACUGCCUCUUGGAGAACAGCAAACCAUUCUCCAGACAGAGACAUGGACAUCAAAACAGAAAACUAAGUACUUGAUCUUGGAUUGUUUGGGGUGAGCGCUGGCAAAUAAUGAAGCAGGAAAUGAAAAUGGCUGUAAGAAGUACUUUGUGUGCACAGACAUGACUGGAGAUUAAAGUUACUAAAUGUUGCUUUUUUUCUAGCUGGUGACAUAACUUUGUAUUAUUUUCAAAUGUAUUUAUCUAACACACAUUUACACAUCUGUAAACAUUCAUUUUAUAUUGCAUGUUUUUUAUAUUUAACCAAUUGUUGUAUAUUGCUUUCUGUUAUUACAUCUGUUUUUUAUUGCAUGUUUAUUGUUUAAAACAAUUAAGUUAAUGUUUCUCUGUUAGCUUUUGUUACUUUGGAUAUUUCUUUGCAUUUAUUUGAUCCUUCUACUGUUAUUUGUUUAUUUGGCAGAACAUUUGACAUUUCAUUUAUUUUGCUGUUAUCUGAAAUUAUUCUUGUCAGCAUCAAUAAAACUCUAUAUUUGCUUUAUAUCUGUGUUUUUCAAUUAUACAUUUUACGGUAUAUAAAUAUAUUUUGGUCACUUUAUGGCUAUUUUCUGGGGCAUCUGGAUAAGUUGCGGGUGGGUUCUGGGGUUAAUAUGGUAAUUUUGGUUAUUUUCUGGGUUACAUUUGGGGUUUCUGGAAAAGUUGUGGGUAAGUUUGGGGAUAAAUGUGGUAAUUUGGGCUCUUUUCUGGUUGUUAUCUGGAAAUUCCGGGAGAGCUGUGGCUGAUUUUUUCGAGGUGUGAAAGGGUUGCGGCUAAGUUACGGUCUGCUUUCGGCUAGAUUCUGGAUUACUUAAGGCAAGCAGCUCUGGGAC